rnacentral:rRNA from 1 species
UCGAGGAUCUUCGGCAAUGGGCGCAAGCCUGACCGAGCGACGCCGCGUGUGCGAUGAAGGCCUUCGGGUUGUAAAGCACUGUCGAGGGGGAGGAAGCCGAAAGGUUGACCUAUCCCUGGAGGAAGGACGGGCUAAGUUCGUGCCAGCAGCCGCGGUAAGACGAACCGUCCAAACGUUAUUCGGAAUCACUGGGCUUAAAGGGCGCGUAGGCGGGCCACAUAGUCUAGGGUGAAAGCCCCCAGCUUAACUGGGGAAGUGCCUUGGAUACUGGUGGCCUCGAGGAGGGUAGGGGCAUCUGGAACGUCGGGUGGAGCGGUGAAAUGCGUUGAUAUCCGACGGAACUCCGGUGGCGAAAGCGAGGUGCUGGACCCUUUCUGACGCUGAGGCGCGAAAGCCAGGGGAGCAAACGGGAUUAGAUACCCCUGUAGUCC